GGCGACCGGCGCACGGGUGCGUAACGCGUAUGUAACCUACCUAUAACAGGGGCAUAACACUGAGAAAUUGGUACUAAUUCCCCAUAAUAUUCGGAGAGGCAUCUCUCCGGGUUGAAAACUCCGGUGGUUAUAGAUGGACAUGCGUUGUAUUAGCUAGUUGGUGAGGUAACGGCUCACCAAGGCAACGAUACAUAGGGGGACUGAGAGGUUAACCCCCCACACUGGUACUGAGACACGGCCCAGACUCCUACGGGAGGCAGCAUG
rnacentral:rRNA from 1 species